GCAGUCGCAUAUUCAACCGUUUUCAGGUAGCUAUUGGACUAGAGAUGUAACUCGGGCUUGAUUAAAAAAAAGAACAAAAACGUUUAAUUAACUUGCCGAAAUGUUUGCCUGUAAUACUGUCACUUCAAGGACCUCUUCAACGCGUUUACUAAUCGAUAUCCGACUUCUGAAGUGCCGCCGUAACUUUACCGUUAGCAAGUUUGCUAACGUGUGAAACGUAGCCUACCCAGCAAGCAGUAACGUCCUCAAGUUUCCUGCUGGAGUUGGGGCUGUCAAACCAUUCAAGUGGCCCAUGAUGACUGACUGAAAGGACAUUACGUGAAUUCACUACAAGUCAAAAUCAGAUAAACAAACAGGAACAUCAGCCUUCUUGGUGCCAGAUGGAAAUACUUGAGAAUAGCAAGAAAAACGGUUCAAGUAGGCCCGACAACAGAGAUCACAGACAACCACAAGAAGUGACCCCAGGAGGGGGACAGACCAUAUGUUGGCAGUUUUUGGAAG